rnacentral:rRNA from 1 species
GAUGAACGCUGGCGGCGUGCCUAAUACAUGCAAGUCGAGCGAACAGACGAGGAGCUUGCUCCUCUGACGUUAGCGGCGGACGGGUGAGUAACACGUGGAUAACCUCCCUAUAAGACUGGGAUAACUUCGGGAAACCGGAGCUAAUACCGGAUAAUAUAUUGAACCGCAUGGUUCAAUAGUGAAAGACGGUUUUGCUGUCACUUAUAGAUGGAUCCGCGCCGCAUUAGCUAGUUGGUAAGGUAACGGCUUACCAAGGCAACGAUGCGUAGCCGACCUGAGAGGGUGAUCAGCCACACUGGACCGGAGACACGGUCCAGACUCCUAAGGGAGGCAGCAGUAGGGAAUAUUACGCAAUGGGCGAAAGCCUGACGGAGCAAGGCCGCGUGAGGGAGGAAGAUCUUCGGAUCGUAAAACUGUGUUAUUAGGGAAGAACAAAUGUGUAAGUAACUAUGCACGUCUUGACGGUACCUAAUCAGAAAGCCACGGCUAACUACGUG